ACUUCUAUAGCCUGAGCACUCCAUUGGUAAUGGAGAGGUCGACAGUUCAAUCCUGUCUGGCAGCA
rnacentral:tRNA from 1 species